AGAUAGCUUCAGCCCAGGAGUUCGAGACCAGCCUGGGCAACAUGGCGAAACUCCCAUCUCUACAAAAAAUAAAAAAUUAGCUGGGCAUAGUGGCUCAUGCCCGUGGUCCCAGCUACUCAAGAGGCUGAGGUGGGAGGAUCCCUUGAGCCCAGGAGAUCUAGGCUGUAGUGAGCCAUGAUAACGCCAUUGCAUUGCAUUCCAGCCUUGGCAACAGAGAGCAAGACCUUAUCUCAGGGUAAAGAGCGAGAGCGAGAGCAAGACAGGGAGAGAGAGAGAGAAGAGAGAGAAGAGGGAGAAAGAAAAGAAACCAAACCCAUCAAUCAUAGAGAAAUAGAGAAGACCUAGCCAUUAGUGAGUUCUUGCUCCUUUCUUGCACUGCGGCUAGCAUGCUCAUGACAACACUGACUGGUGAGAGACUUGACCAAAACCACAGGGGAGAAAACACUAGUUUUCUCUGCCUACCCCACUAGUGGGUAAUCACAUGGACUAUAAACCCAAACCACCACAUGGGGUCAAAUGUAGGCCCCUACCAAUUUCGUGUAAUCCUGAGAAGGUUUCUUAACUUCACUGCACCUCAGUCUCCUCAUCUGUUAGGAUAAUUAUAGUACUCACAAUGGAGGGUUGCUAUGGGGAUUAACUGAUUUAUGUAUAGAGCACUGAGACAGUGGCUGGCACAUGGGAAAAAUUCCAAGGCAGUCGCAGUUCCUUGAUGUCUCAGUUUUCAGUUUGUGUGUAUCAACUGUUACCAUGCCUGUCAUUUCUUCCAGAAACUCCAGUGACUCUCUUUGACUACAUCAGAGACUCUGUAAAGUGCUGUGGAAAGAUGAAUGAAACACAAAGGAGGGAGCCAUUCAUUCUGCCCCGUCUGUGUGUGAGGUGUCAACGCUUCUAGAAAAGGAACCAGAAGCAGCUGUGGAACUGGGCUGGAAUAGAUAAAGUGGGGGGCAAAGACAAGCCAAUCCAAAAGAAAAAGGAUCUUUGAAGGAAUGUCUAAAGGGACAGGGAAGAUGAGACCAGAUUCUUCAAGAGCCAUGUUCCUUUUAGGUGAAGCUACAGCCAUGGCUAAUCAUCCUUCUCAAUAAACAUAUGGGCCUUCAUUACCUCUGACUGGACCAAAAAAGAGACUUUUAGUGGCUGUGUCUUAGUCUGGUAUUUGCCCUUCUGUCUUGCACCUAGCCCUGAAUUCGUUUUCCCCAAGCUCUUCAGAUUUCCACAGGAUAAGGGCCAAACUCCUAGUAGCCAAAGCCCUCUAUUAGAUAGCCCCUACUACUACUCAGCUCCAAACUCUUCCCAGGAUCCACAAUAGUUUUCUACUCUGGUUACACAAGAAUGUCCUCUCUGUAUACCACCAUGGUUUCCCACUACUCAGUCUUUGCUUACUUCAAGCCCCAAUCCCUACUUUCACCUACCUGAGCCCAUUCAUUCUUUGAACCUUGUUUCCACCCUACCUCCUCCAGUGAAGCUUUCCCUGAUCAGAACCGCUAUUUCCUCAGUCUACCACCUGUACCAUUCAAACAACACUUACCAACUUUUACCUUGCCUGCUUCUAUCUCUUGCUAGACUGAGUCCGUUCUCAGCAGAUUCAACUAUUUAUGUUAAACUCUAAACUGGGUACUAGGGAUAUAAGACAGAUGGGCUAGGGCCAUUUUCAGAACUUGUCAGACUUUAAAAACUCAAAUAUCAUUCUCCACAAAUAAAGAACACAGAAGACACCAGUAACACUUGCUGAAUGAUUAACACUCAAAGCUAACAUAAACAUAUCUUUUCCUACUUAUGUUUAAGUAACAAGAAGGUAUAUUGGGUAUCGAGCCAGGUUAACAGCCUUUAAUCAAAGCCCUGAUGAGACAAGAAAUAGGUACUUUCACUCCUAGAAAUGGAGCAUUAAAACAUCUGGAUCCACCUGGAACACAUGUUCUCAGGACCCCCUGAGGGCUGUGCCACAGGCUAUUGUCACCCUAAAUUUGAAAAAAGAAAAUCUGGGAGAUCACACCUAUAAUCUCAGCACUUUGGGAGCCCAAGCGUGGGGGGCUCGCUUGAGCUGCAGUGAGCUAUGAUUGUACCACUGCACUCCAACAUGGGCAACAGAGUGAGACCAUCUCUAAAAAACAAAGAGAGAAACCUACUGGCAAAGCCAACUAAAAAGCAGUUAAAAUGGCCCGGCAUGGUGGCUCACCUGAGGUCAGGAGUUCGAGAACAGCCUGGCCAACAUGGUGAAACCCGUCUCUACUAAAAAUACAAAAAUUAUCUGGGCGUGUUGCCUGUAAUCCCAGCUACUCAGGAGGCUGAGGCAGGAGAAUUGCCUGAACCCAGGAGGCGGAGGUUGCGGUGAGCCAAGAUCGCGCCAUUGCACUCCAGCCUGGGUAACAAGAGCGAAACUCCGUCUCCAAAAAAAAAAAGAACAGUAUUUUAUAAACUACCUUUAAAGUCCUGCUACUUCUGUUAAGUAAAAUUCUCAUACCCAUUUUUGUACCUAAAAUGCUAAAAUUAAAAAUGCGUGCAAUAAAAUUGGUCAUUUCAAAUCUUUUUCCCUCCCCCAAUUGUAUGCUUCCUGUCCCCAUCCUUGAGAAUCAUUGCGGCCAGGUGGCUCAAGCCUGUAAUCCCAGCACUUUGGGAGGCCGAGGCGGGUGGAUCAGGAGGUCAAGAGAUUGAGACCAUCCUGGUCAACAUGGUGAAACCCCAUCUCUACUAAAAAUACAAAAAAAUUAGCUGGGCAUGGUGGCGUGUGCCUGUAAUCCCAGCUACUCAGGAGGCUGAGGCAGGAGAAUUGUCUGAACCCAGGAGGCGGAGGUUGCGGUGAGCCGAGAUCGCGCCAUUGCACUCCAGCCUGGGUAACAAGAGUGAAACUCUGUUUCAAAAAAAAAAAAAAAAGAGAGAAUCAUUGCUCUAAACAGUUUUCAGUAGCUUUUUCUGUAACAUACUUUGGCAAUCAGUCAGUUUUUAUUUGUAAGCAAAAAGGAUUUUUUCAUCACACCUCAACUUAAGGUGUAAUAUCCUUAAGAACGACAAAUUAGGGCAAGUGUUCACCAACUUGUGAUGCAACAAGGAUUAUAAAUGAGUAAGUCUGCCUUGUUUGUGUGUUCUUUUUCAAAUGUUUCUUCAUGCUCUAGUGCAAAGGCACUAUUUUUGUGUAAAAGGACACAGUAUUUUCAGCUCUGUGGCCCAUACUUUUAGCACCUAUGCAAGUCUGGGGUUGCAAUUUGAAAGCUGCCACAGAUAAAUGAAUAGGUGUAGCAAUGUUUCCACAAAACUUUCCAAAAACAGGCCAGUUUUUGUAUGACCCCAUUAUAGAGUAACAUACAAAAUAUACAUAGUGAAAAAAACAAAACAAAACCAUACAUAGUGAAUACAGAUUCACAGAAAGGCAUUACCAAAUUCAUUUGUCAUUCAUCUUUUAUUUAUUUAAUCAAACACUUAAAGAUACAAAUUCUAAUAAGCAAAAGUAAGAUCUUUAUAUUAACAAGGGGCUAUCCAUAUUGGAAAACUGAGAAUCACUACCUGGGACACAAAAGUAUGGGUCUCCAGAGCUGAUGACUACUAUAAAGAAACCUGCUGUAACAUUUUAAAGUGCAUAGUCUAAGCCCAAGCUGUGCUAAAUACUUUACAUGGAUUAUUUCUUGCAUUUGAAAACAAAAUCCAGUAUGUACCUAUUAUUAACCUCAAUUUUACAGGUAAGGAAGCCAUAGUUCAGAGUUUAGUAACCUGGCAAGGCUGACAUAAACAAAUUAGUGGCAGAGAAGAAACUAAACUACAGAGCUACAAACACCCAAAGUCAGUCCUUUAACAACUAUACUAGCCAACUAAUCCUCCACAGUAAGCAGAUUAGAAGAUUCACCAGGUCUGGAAGGUUGGCUUAAAUUCUUGUACUCCCUGAUGGUCUUCCCCGUUGGAAGAUCUUAACAAUUAUCACUGCCUUAGGAGCUCUGAUGUUCCUUUCCCUCUUCUGACUCAAGAAUGGACACUUAACUCCUUUUUUUCCCUUAAGCUUAAGACUGUCAAGAGGAUAAUAACUGGAAUUAAAAUAGAGAAAAAACUAGCUCACCAGACAUGGCUGUUCUGAAAACUCUGGUCCUCAGAGGCUUAUGUUUUUGUAGGGUGACUUCUUCCUUGGUCUUUAAUUUAUAUGGGACAAAGAGUGCCCUUAAAUUCAAGCUCUGGAAAUCAAUGUCUAGGGAAAAAUUCCCUCAUUUGACAGUCUAAGACCUACCUUCCAGGUCCCCAUUUUCUCUCAUAAUUGUCUUUUCUCUAGAUUAUAAACACUAGACAAACAUGUGUAGUCUCUUUAGAGGGGAUCCCAAAACCCGGCCGUGGUGGUUUGGUCUUACCUUGUGACCCCAGAGGGCAACCUUACAUGAUAGCCCAACAAUGGAUAUAGUGAGAGGGUGGGGUGAGCAGUGUCAUUUUCCUUAGAGAAAUCUACUCUAUUUCUCAGCCAGGAGCAACUUAGUUGGAAUAGGGGCUGACACUUUAAAUAGCAAGUGAGCACAUAACUCUGAUCUAUUACAAGACUUCAGUUGGGCAGCAUUCCCCAUUACUGGUUCAGCCUCCAUGGCUUCUGAUGGCUCCCACAGCUGCCCUUUCCUUAUUUUGGUGUGACUAGCCCACUGCAGUGCCAUUCCCAUUACAGCCAAUGCUAUGUUCCUCUUUUAGGAACAAGUGACUACCAUGAAAAGAGAUAACAAAUUGCCCUUCAAAUACGAAGUAAAAUCAUUCUUUCAUUAUUUUAAAAAAUCACUGUUGGGCUUUUUUUUAAAGGUCCAUAAAUUUUCAAUGUAAUGUUGAACUGGGGAAAUGGUUAUAGCAGCUCUCAUGUAAGUUAUCUGAAUUAGUGAACAUUAUCACAGUAUUAAGAAGGCAAGGUAAACAAAUAGCUUAAGUAUUUUAUUUGUUUGCAACUAAGCUUGUUAACACUAUAUAAUGAAAAUGUACAAAGAAUAAUGUUGCAGUUUUUGGUUAGAUUUAAGUCAAAGACAUUCAUUAAUAAGGAUCUUUGAAUGUGAAUAUUCCAGAAAUUUCUCUAAGCCAUCUGAUCAGAACAACUGUCUCUGAAUAUUACCUUACUUUGGAAGGUAUUGGCAUACAUUUGAAUUAAACUCAGAAUUUUUCAAAAUAAGCCCUAAUUAAAAAAACUAUUCUAUAUUCAAAGUAAAACAAUAUUAAUAGAACUUUCCUUUCCAGAAACAAUAAAGGAAACAAGGCAUUUUGUAAAAUGUGGUCCUGAACAAGUCACAGUAAAAAAUAAAUGUAUACUUAACUUCCACCUCCUCAAAACAGAGGCUAUUUUCUGUUCCUCGGCCUUGGAAACAAGGUGAAGAACAGCCUAUAUGCGACUUCGGGCAGGGGGUUGCCAAAACAAAGCUGAAGCAGUUGACCAUGGACACCUCAAAAUAAUUUGGGAGAACCUGACCAAAGGAUUCUAUAUUUUUUUUUUUUUGAGACGGAGUCUCUGUCGCCCAGGCUGGAGUGCAGUGGCGCGAUCGAUCUCAGCUCACUGUAACCCCUGCCUCCUGGAUUCAAGUGAUUCUCCUGCCUCAGCCUCCCAAGUAGCUGGGAUUACAGGCGCUUGCCACUACACCUGGCUAAUUUUUUUGGAUUUUUAAUAGAGAUGGGGUUUUACCAUAUUGGCCAGGGUGGUCUUGAACUCCUGACCUCAAGUGAUCCACCUACCUCGGCCUCCCAAAGUGCUGGGAUUACAGGCGUUAGCCAACACACCCAGCCCCAAUUCUACUUUUAAUAACUAACACAAAGGUGAAGUGGCUCCUCCCAAGUAGCAGUGCUGCUGGGGCCUGGCCCAGGCCUAGCCCUGAGCUCACCUCUUAUGCUCCCAAGCAAACCCUGAUGCUCCUGCUCCAGGGGACACCUUUUCCCUUUAGAGGUUCAGUGUCCAGGGAGCUCUAUGAUUGUGUGAAUGAGGUGAGCACUGACUCCAUGUGAGUAUUUUAAGGCUUGGAGUCAAAGUAUUUUCCUAACACGCCUAGGCAGAGUCCAUGUGUCAAUGGCCCGUCUCCAGUUUGUUCAAAUUUCUCACCACACAUCUGUAGAUCUAGGACUGUAGACCUUUGCUAUAUCAUCAUAAUCAUAUCUAAUGUCCAUCCUAACUUAUGAUUCAUAUUCUGUGCCUGGAAACAGUCCCUGUAUUUAACAAUAAUACCUACACAUAAAAACAAUCCACUGUUACAACUUAUAUGGUCACAAAACAUUAAUGAUCUUCUGUAGACCAAGCAAAUGUUUUUUUACCAUAAUUGUCGUGCAUCAAAUUCACAGCCAGAAUCCCCAAGAUCAAAAAAAGUUUUUGCACAAUACAAAUAAUAACUUAAAAUACACAUACACACAUAUACACACACUCUCACACACACUUCUUACAGAACUGUGCUUGGGGAAACUCCAUUUGCUGAGUGCCACUGAAGGCAUAUUUUGCUAAACUGCUGCUCCAGGUAUUUUUGUUUGGAACAUCUAUCACAGUAGGGCACAGCUGUUUAUUGGAUGAGCA